ensembl:snoRNA SNORA70 Small nucleolar RNA SNORA70
AUGCUUAACCUCAUCUUUUAAAGGCAAGUGUUGCAGCAGAAUUAUUGGUGAUGUAUGCAGCCUGUUCCUUAUAUGAGCUUCCCUAAGGGUCCUUGAAGACACUC